GACGAACGCUGGCGGCGUGCUUAACACAUGCAAGUCGAACGGAAAGGCCCUGCUUGCAGGGUACUCGAGUGGCGAACGGGUGAGUAACACGUGGGUGAUCUGCCCUGCACUUCGGGAUAAGCCUGGGAAACUGGGUCUAAUACCGGAUAGGAGCCAUUUUUAGUGUGAUGGUUGGAAAGUUUUUUCGGUGUAGGAUGAGCUCGCGGCCUAUCAGCUUGUUCGUGGGGUAAUGGCCUACCAAGGCGGCGACGGGUAGCCGGCCUGAGAGGGUGGACGGCCACAUUGGGACUGAGAUACGGCCCAGACUCCUACGGGAGGCAGCAGUGGGGAAUAUUGCACAAUGGGCGCAAGCCUGAUGCAGCGACGCCGCGUGGGGGAUGACGGCCUUCGGGUUGUAAACUCCUUUCGCUAGGGACGAAGCUUUUGUGACGGUACCUAGAUAAGAAGCACCGGCUAACUACGUG
rnacentral:rRNA from 1 species